rnacentral:tRNA from 1 species
GGUCCCGUAGUGUAGCGGUUCUCACGUCGCCCUGUCACGGCGAAGAUCGCGGGUUCGAUUCCCGUCGGGACCG